rnacentral:rRNA from 1 species
GACGAACGCUGGCGGCGUGCUUAACACAUGCAAGUCGAGCGGAAAGGCCCUUCGGGGCACUCGAGCGGCGAACGGGUGAGUAACACGUGAGUAACCUGCCCCAGACUUUGGGAUAACCCUCGGAAACGGGGGCUAAUACCGGAUACGACACAGCUUCGCAUGGGGUCUGUGUGGAAAGUUUUUCGGUUUGGGAUGGGCUCGCGGCCUAUCAGCUUGUUGGUGGGGUGAUGGCCUACCAAGGCGACGACGGGUAGCCGGCCUGAGAGGGCGACCGGCCACACUGGGACUGAGACACGGCCCAGACUCCUACGGGAGGCAGCAGUGGGGAAUAUUGCACAAUGGGCGGAAGCCUGAUGCAGCGACGCCGCGUGAGGGAUGACGGCCUUCGGGUUGUAAACCUCUUUCAGCAGGGACGAAGCGUAAGUGACGGUACCUGCAGAAGAAGCGCCGGCCAACUACGUG